UACGUAGGAGGCGAGCGUUGUCCGGAUUUACUGGGCGUAAAGGGCUCGUAGGCGGCCAACUAAGUCGGAUGUGAAAUCCCCAGGCUUAACCUGGGAACUGCAUCCGAUACUGGAUGGCUUGAAUCCGGGAGAGGGAUGCAGAAUUCCAGGUGUAGCGGUGAAAUGCGUAGAUAUCUGGAGGAAUACCGGUGGCGAAGGCGGCAUCCUGGACCGGCAUUGACGCUGAUGAGCGAAAGCUAGGGGAGCAAACGGG
rnacentral:rRNA from 1 species